rnacentral:rRNA from 1 species
UACAGAGGUCUCAAGCGUUGUUCGGAUUCAUUGGGCGUAAAGGGUGCGUAGGUGGCGCCGUAAGUCAGGUGUGAAAUUUCGGAGCUUAACUCCGAAACUGCAUUUGAUACUGCGGUGCUUGAGGGCUGGAGAGGAGACUGGAAUUUACGGUGUAGCAGUGAAAUGCGUAGAGAUCGUAAGGAAGACCAGUGGCGAAGGCGGGUCUCUGGACAGUUCCUGACACUGAGGCACGAAGGCCAGGGGAGCAAACGGG